rnacentral:rRNA from 1 species
UGCCAGCCGCCGCGGUAAUACGGAGGGUGCAAGCGUUAUCCGGAUUUAUUGGGUUUAAAGGGUGCGUAGGCGGGAGAUUAAGUCAGUGGUGAAAGCCCACAGCUCAACUGUGGAACUGCCAUUGAUACUGAUCUUCUUGAAUGCGGUUGAAGUGGGCGGAAUAUGUCAUGUAGCGGUGAAAUGCUUAGAUAUGACAUAGAACACCUAUUGCGAAGGCAGCUCACUAAACCGUGAUUGACGCUGAGGCACGAAAGCGUGGGGAGCGAACAGGAUUAGAUA